rnacentral:rRNA from 1 species
UAAUACGGAGGAUCCAAGCGUUAUCCGGAAUCAUUGGGUUUAAAGGGUCCGUAGGUGGAUAAUUAAGUCAGAGGUGAAAUCCUGCAGCUCAACUGUAGAAUUGCCUUUGAAACUGGUUAUCCUGAGUCAUUAUGAAGUGGUUAGAAUGUGUAGUGUAGCGGUGAAAUGCAUAGAUAUUACACGGAAUACCGAUUGCGAAGGCAGAUCACUAAUAAUGUACUGACACUGAUGGACGAAAGCGUGGGUAGCGAACAGGAUUAGAUACCCUGGUAGUCCACGCCGUAACGAUGGAUACUAGCUGUUCGGAUUUAGGUCUGAGUGGCUAAGCGAAAGUGAUAAGUAUCCCACCUGGGGAGUACGUUCGCAAGAAUG